UUAGUUUAUUUAACUAUUUUCAGAUUUGACAUGGUUAAAAAGAAUUUGUUGUGGGCUACUGGCGGGCACUGGCCAGAGAUCAAAGACCUCCAACGGUCCGGUUAAAGACGGGCCCGCCAAAGCAACAUGGUAGUUAUACAAAGGGUUGGAGAUCGGGCCUAGAAGACCCUAACUCAUUAAUGAUCCUUCCGCAGGUUCACCUACGGAAA
rnacentral:misc_RNA from 1 species